AGUCUGUUCAGGGUUCCAAACUCAACGAUGGCAACUAAACGAAACUAACAAGCUGGAGUAUGGUAGGGGCAGAGGGAAUUUCCGGUGGAGUGGUGAAAUGCGUAGAGAUCGAAAAGAACACCAACGGCGAAAGCACUCUGCUGGGCCAACACUGACACUAAGAGACGAAAGCUAGGGGAGCGAAUGGAAUUAGAUACCCCAGUAGUCCUAGCCGUAAACGAUGGAUACUAGGCGCCGUGCGUAUCGACCCGUGCAAUGUUGUAGCUAACGCGUUAAGUAUCCUGCCU
rnacentral:rRNA from 1 species